rnacentral:pre_miRNA from 1 species
CUUUUCAAGACUUCAGCUUCAAAUGCAUCAAUGACAAUUUUCUCUCUUUACAAAUAGACUGAUUUUGAGUACAGAAAAUUCAGUCUUUAAGUUGGUGGGAACAAUUGCCCUUGAUGCAAUUGAAGCUGAAGUCUUGAAAGAGA